AAGCUGUCCAUGACAUCACUCACCACGGUCCUCGCCCGCCGAGGACGUGUCCCACUCAACCGUCCAUCCCGGAGGGAGCUGGUAUGGUCAAUUCACACUAGCAACCAUUUUAUCAAUUUCAUUACCUGAAAACAAAGCCACAAGCAAGAUUGAGUAUACUAAUACUCCGCAAGACUUACCCGACGGGUGGUAUCUAAUCCACCGACUCCUAGACAUGCCA
rnacentral:lncRNA from 1 species